rnacentral:rRNA from 1 species
GCGCAAUGGCGGCGUGCCUAUACUGCACGUCGAGCGGACAGAUGGGAGCUUGCUCCCUGAUGUUAGCGGCGGACGGGUGAGUAACACGUGGGUAACCUGCCUGUAAGACUGGGAUAACUCCGGGAAACCGGGGCUAAUACCGGAUGGUUGUUUGAACCGCAUGGUUCAGACAUAAAAGGUGGCUUCGGCUACCACUUACAGAUGGACCCGCGGCGCAUUAGCUAGUUGGUGAGGUAACGGCUCACCAAGGCAACGAUGCGUAGCCGACCUGAGAGGGUGAUCGGCCACACUGGGACUGAGACACGGCCCAGACUCCUACGGGAGGCAGCAGUAGGGAAUCUUCCGCAAUGGACGAAAGUCUGACGGAGCAACGCCGCGUGAGUGAUGAAGGUUUUCGGAUCGUAAAGCUCUGUUGUUAGGGAAGAACAAGUGCCGUUCAAAUAGGGCGGCACCUUGACGGUACCUAACCAGAAAGCCACGGCUAACUACGUGCCAGCAGCCGCGGUAAUACGUAGGUGGCAAGCGUUGUCCGGAAUUAUUGGGCGUAAAGGGCUCGCAGGCGGUUUCUUAAGUCUGAUGUGAAAGCCCCCGGCUCAACCGGGGAGGGUCAUUGGAAACUGGGGAACUUGAGUGCAGAAGAGGAGAGUGGAAUUCCACGUGUAGCGGUGAAAUGCGUAGAGAUGUGGAGGAACACCAGUGGCGAAGGCGACUCUCUGGUCUGUAACUGACGCUGAGGAGCGAAAGCGUGGGGAGCGAACAGGAUUAGAUACCCUGGUAGUCCACGCCGUAAACGAUGAGUGCUAAGUGUUAGGGGGUUUCCGCCCCUUAGUGCUGCAGCUAACGCAUUAAGCACUCCGCCUGGGGAGUACGGUCGCAAGACUGAAACUCAAAGGAAUUGACGGGGGCCCGCACAAGCGGUGGAGCAUGUGGUUUAAUUCGAAGCAACGCGAAGAACCUUACCAGGUCUUGACAUCCUCUGACAAUCCUAGAGAUAGGACGUCCCCUUCGGGGGCAGAGUGACAGGUGGUGCAUGGUUGUCGUCAGCUCGUGUCGUGAGAUGUUGGGUUAAGUCCCGCAACGAGCGCAACCCUUGAUCUUAGUUGCCAGCAUUCAGUUGGGCACUCUAAGGUGACUGCCGGUGACAAACCGGAGGAAGGUGGGGAUGACGUCAAAUCAUCAUGCCCCUUAUGACCUGGGCUACCACCGUGCUACAAUGGGACAGAACAAAGGGCGGCGAA